CAUGACGGACAAGCUUACUGGGCCUAGUUAAGGAUUUUGGACUUGAAGACCAAAAAGUAAGAGAGUAGCAGCUAGUUGUU
rnacentral:sRNA from 1 species